ensembl:lncRNA
CUCUGUGCUAUGGGACACCUGAUAAAUCAUAGUCAGUGCUGAGUAGAUAACUGGAUGUGUUUUGUGCUUUACACUGCCUUAAUUAUUCAAAUUGUGCCUUUAUUUAAUUCAAAUUGUCAGUUUAAAAAAUGGACUUAAUUUGAUUUUGUGAACACUACUUUAUAAGAGGAGGGAUGAGGAGAAUGGGAAAGGAAUAGAAUAAUAUUUGCAUCUAAACUAUUCCCAAAAACAAAAUCCUUUAAUUGUUUUCAGCAAAUAAGUGAGAAUUUGGCCCUUUUUUCCUUGUGAGAUGUUUUGCAGUUUGAGAUUUCAAGGCAUCAGACUUAAGGAUUAUUUUUCUCCCCAGGCCAGGAUAAAUCCACACUCUGUGUCUGGGGUUUACUGUGCCCAGAUGUGCUCAGGGAGCUCCUGCUAAGGGCAGUCAGGAUCUUCAAAGACAGGAAACCAGCUUCCACAAAUCACCUUUUUCUUCUUCCAUUUUCUUCCUGUGGCUCAUUGAACCAGUGGAUCAAUGCCAUAGUCAGUACAUUAUAAAUGAUAUUCUUCCAGAUCAGCCUUGAUGGACUGGAGAUUAUUCCUGUGGCAGCGGUGACAGGAUGCUUUUGGCAGACCUGUGGCUAUGUGGGACAGCAAAGAAUGAGGCAGAGCUGAAGGGUGAGGUCCAGGUAGGCAUUAAUCCUAAUUCUAACUUUGACAAUGGCCAUUCCUCUGACCUGAGGAAUUUUCCAUAGUUUCUUCCUUCAUCUCCAAAGCGAGCAUAGAAGCAAAAGCUUCAUCUCCCAUCCCUAUUCUUGAGCUGGCAUCCUCCGCCACCAAAAAGCAGCAUAUGCAGAGGAAAAUCUCUUGGCAGUGCCUGCAACACUUGCUCUUUUCAGAGGAGAUGAUUCCUGGCUGUAUGAGAGGUUGUUCUCAAGGCUGUCUAACAAGUAGAGGAUUCCAUGAGGGAUACAAGUCCUUUCUAGUCUUAGCACCAUGCCCAAGCAGUGUCUGGUGAGCAGAGAAUGUGAAAUGUAGCUCCAUGGGAGGAACAUCCUCACGUGUGUAGCAUCCCCCUCUCUUUGUUUUGCUGUCUCCUACGUAUCAGAGAAUAUCCUGAGUUGGAAGAAACCCACCAGGAUCAUCAAAGUCCAGCUCCUGGUCCUAUACAGGUCAGCUCCAAGAAUCACACCAUGCAUAAAUUUAUAUAUUUGUAUAUUUGUAUACAUGCAGUACUUUGGAAAUGCUUUUUUUUUUGUUUUUGCUGUCACUUUGCUUGGAAGGGUAGAUCCUGUUGGAGUCUGGAAUACAGAGCGUGUGCCCUUAUUUCUGAUACUUAGUUCUAAGAUCUAGAAAAACACUAAAUUUCAUAUAACAUGAAAUUCAUGAGCAUGUUUUCAUGGUAAUACAUGAAAACAACUGUUAAAGUUAGAUAGAAAAAGCUAAAAAUGUGAGUGUGUAGAUUAGAAAGUUUUUUUAAAUCACUGGGUGAAAAAGUUAAUUUAGAGAACAGAAGCUAAGAUGGAGGAUUUAGGGUAUUGUCCCUUGUCCCUUCUUCUUUCUUCUUCAUGUUCUUCUCCUAGAGGUUUUUGGGUAAUAAUAAGUGAUUAGAUAGAGAAUGUUACAGUGCAGCACAGAGGUGAUGGGUCAUUGGGUCAUUAAGAAAAAUAAUAUAUGUG